UUUAAACUUCCCGCUAUGAUGACGUCAAGCAAUAUCGUUCUCAGCGAGAAUAUAACGUUAGCGGGUUUAAUGGCGGUGUUUACUUCCUGAUAUCGUACAAAAAUCGCAUAAGUAUCGAAUUAAUAGUGAAAUUAUCGCCUUUCAUAAGGUAAAGACAGAUGAAAACAAUUCCAUUUAAUGACAGACAAUUAUUCAUCGGCUAAUGCGUGGCCUGAAGAUGAAUACUCGGACACUAUUAAUGAUUCGGUUUGAAAAUCAAAAUGAUCAACGAUAAACAAAUCAAAAUGUUUGGCAGCCAAUCCUGACUAAGUUUCAGGUGAUGUUAACAUUUUCCAGGACCAAAUCAUGCCUGAACACUGUGUGUGAAGUGAUGUGAGAAUGGAAUGCUGAUCCAGAGAACAACUAGCCCAAGGGUCGAUGGGCGUUUUAAUUGUGAAUGACAGUAACAGUUUAAAUUGACUCAUUAUGCGAUAUGAGAAGCUUUCAUAUCUGAGUAUUUUCCUUGUGAAAGCAUAAUUGUGGAUGGUCGUCUCGCCGUAAAACAGUACAGAAUGACUGGAAUGAAAGAUUCAAAUCCAUGGAAAGUGUUGAUGGCUGCCUACUCUGUCAACGCUGAUGCUGGAACUUCAACAUUUAUGUUGACAAGUGUGCAACACUGUGUCACAGAUACAUGUAGCUGUUGGUUAUCGACCUGACAAAAGAUCAUGCCAGAAAGGAUCAUCUCUGUCUACACAAAUUAUUUCUACAAGAGCCUCAAGCCAGCCCACUUUCAGUCAAUGAAAGACAUGUACAUCGUAUAUAUGUGGAACUAUGCGGACUUACCUUAAUGGGUACCCACAGGAUAUAGUGAAGACAAAAGUGGAGGCACUUAGACUUCUACAGGUGUGGUCACUAUGAGUGACAGCAAUGUGGAAGUAAGAUAGCAAAAUGAUGUUCUUCCUAUCCAGAGGAAUCUUCAGCACAACUCUUGUCAACAAAGAAUCUUCAGCACAACUGGUGUCAACAAAGAAUCUUCAGCACAACUGGUGUCAACAAAGAAUCUUCAGCACAACUGGUGUCAACAAAGAAUCUUCAGCACAACUCUUGUCAACAAAGAAUCUUCAGCACAACUCGUGUCAACAAAGAAUCUUCAGCACAACUCGUGUCAACAAAGAAUCUUCAGCACAACUCGUGUCAACAAAGAAUCUUCAGCACAACUCUUGUCAACAAAGAAUCUUCAGCACAACUGGUGUCAACAAAGAAUCUUCAGCACAACUCGUGUCAACAAAGAAUCUUCAGCACAACUAGUGUCAACAAAGAUGAGCAAGCAACACCUGAAUCGAACACCCUCUUUGCAUCAAAACAAACAAUAUAUUGGCAGUAUUGAUUGCAAUUACUAGGACAUUCAUUUGAACAUACAUGAUUGGGCAUCCAGACGUUUUCCCCAUUCUCCCACUCUGCAUUUAUUCAUUAAUGAGUUUUAUAUAUUUGUUACAGCAACAAACAGAUAGAUACAAUAUUUGCCUAAUUAAUAUUUUUUGGUAAAGUCUUUUGAGUUUUAAUUUUUAUACCCCAACCACUGACUUGGUUUUUGGGGAUAUGUUUGUAGGUAUCACUUUGUCCUGUCUGGCUGUUCUGAGACAUGUCUAUUUCUCUCCAAAACUCCAUAUAUACAAAUAUGAAAUAUAUAUAUAUAUGUUUUUGAGGUAUUGACUUCAAACUUCAUACACAUAAAGACUGUGUUUGCACAAGAAACAUUGUUUUGUGCUAUUGCCAUAUGAUUAUUUCAAUAAUUUUUACUUCUCUCUAUAUAUUUUUAUCCCCCGCCGAAUCGAAGAUUUCGGGAGGGGGAUAUUGUUUUGGCGUCGUCCUUCCGUCCGUCCGUCCAUCCGGUACCAUAUCUUGGUAGGCAUUGAUCAGAAAAUGAUCAAACUUGGUCAGAAUGUUCCCCUUGAUCAUAUCUCGACCACUUUUAAAAGUGGGUCGCAUGGGAUCAAAAACUAGGUCAGUAGGUCAAAUCUUAGAAAAAUCUUUGGAACAUACUAGAGGCAUUAUAUUAUACAAGGUCAAAUAUUCAUGAAACUUAAUCAGAAUGUUUUCCUGGAUGACACUUUGGUCGGAAAUAAAACUGGGCCACAUAUGGUCAAAAAUUAGGUCACUAGGUCAAAUCUUAGAAAAAUCUUGUCCGGAAUCAUAUCAUGGUAAUGAUUGGUCAAGUUAUGUUAAAAAUUGGUCAUGAUGUAAACCUUGAUGAAAUAUGGACCACUUAAAAAAGUGGAUCACAUGGGGUCAAAAACUAGGUCAGGAGGUCAAAUCUUAGAAAAAUCUUAGGAACAUAUUAGAGGCAUUAUACAUGGUCAAAUAUUCAUAAAACUUAAUUAGAAUGUUUUCCUUGAUGAAAUCUUGGACUUAUUUAAAACUGGGUCACAUUUGAUCGAACAUUAGGUCACAAGGUCAAAUCUUAGAAAUGUUUGGUCCGGAAUGGAAAUGAUUGGUCGGAUUAUGUUCAAACUUGGUCAUGAUGUACCCCUUGAUGAAAUAUGGACCGCUUGUAAAAGUGGGGCAUAUGCGGUCAAAAAUUAGGUCACUAAGUCAAGUUUUAGAAAAAUCUUUGACACACAUUAGAGGCAAUAUGUAUGGUCUUUUAUUCAUGAAACUUGAUCAGAAUGUUUUCCUUGAUGAACUCUUGGAGCUGUUUUAAAACUGGGUCACGUGUGAUAAGAAAUUAGGUCACUAGGUCAAAUCUUUCAAAAUUCUUGUCCGAAAGCUAUUUUAUGGUGGUGUUUGGUCUGAUUAAGUUCAAAAAUGGCCAGAAUGUUCUCAUAGGUUAAAUUUCGACUGUGUUUUAAAAUUGGGUCAUAUGGGUCAAAAACUAGGUCACUAGCUCAUAUCUUACAGAAAUCUUGGGAACACUCUAGAGGCAAUACAUCUGCUCUAAUUUCCAUGAAACUUAAUAAGAAUGCCUCGAUGAAAUCUUGGAAUAGUUUGAAACUAGUAGGUCAUGUGGGGUCAAAAAUGAGAUCACUGAGUGAAAUCUUAAAAAAACCUUGUGGACACUCUAGAGGCUAUGUUUUUUUGCAUAUAUCUGGACCAAUCUUCAUGAAACUUGAUCAGAAUGUUUGCCUUGAUGAAAUCUUAGAUUAGUUUGGAACUGGGUAACUUGGAGUCAUAUACUAGGUUUCUUAGUCAAUUCUAAAUGUUACAUUAUAUACAAUAUUUGUUUUUUAUUUCAAACAGUUGCAAUCAAACUCAAACUCAUAUAUAUAUAUAUUUCAUUUUUUUUUUAGAAAUUUUACAUCAGGCAAUAAUGACAAAGUAAGUGAAACCACAGUAUGUGAGUGAAACCGAAUGUAAAGAAACAACUAACAACUCCACAAGGGUGAAAUGCCAAAAGGAAACUUUUACAACAAGUGAUCAAUUCAUUUGUAGUAAUUAUCAAAGGCAAAGAAAUAUUACUAUUUUGGAAGGAAGAAAUCAAUAGUAUUUAUUCUAUUCUCUUAUUGUCGUUGGACGACCAAGAAUUUUGUGAAUUCAUCUUUUGAUUUAAGUUUAAGUUGUCUAUUUUAAAUUUGUUUGGACAACAAAACAUUUAGUAUAUUUAAUUACUGAUUAAGAAUAGUUUUGAAUGUUAUUUGUAAUGCAAUGACAUUGUUAUUUUAGUUUAAAACUUGUUCAUUUCAAAUUUGUUUUGACAACAAAAUAUUUGGUACAUUUAAAUACUGAUAUUAAAAAGUUUGAUAUUAAGACCUUACAGUUUGUGGAUAUAUAUCUUCAUUCGUUUUGAAUUUGGCUCGGACGACCAUUUUGUGAUUUAACAUUGUGAUUUUUGACCAUUUCAAAUUUGUUGGGGAAGACAAAAAUUCAUAGUUUUGAUAUUCAGUCAUAAGUUUUGUUAGAACGACAUAGCAUUUUGUGAUUUCAUUUAUUUUGGUUUGUAAUUGUUAUGGAAUUUGCCAUUUCAAAUUCGUUAGGGUGACUUAACAUUUUGGCAAUUCACAUUUUGAUUAAAGUUAAUAGCUUUAAAUUAAAUGCUUCAAAUUAUUUUCUUUGACCUAAAAUUUUGUCUAUUCAUUUUUAAAUUUAAGUUAUUUUUUUUCUAUUUCAAAUUUAUUCAGAUGGCAAAACAUUUACUACAUUUGAAUACUGAUUAUUUUUAAGAGUUUUGAAAUUUAAUGGUUUCAAAUUUGUUAGGACAUAUCCUAACAUUUUGAGAAUUCAUAGUCAAGAUAUGCAAUCGUUUUGAAAUUUGUUAGGACAACCUAACAUUUCAUACUUUUGAUAUUCAAUACUUUAACUUUAUGUUUUAAAUUUGUUAGGACGUCCUAACAUUUUGUGAUUUCAUAUUUUUGAUUUUCAACAUCUUUAACUUGGAAUGGUUCAAAUUUGUUAGGACAUCCUAACAUUUUGGGAUUUCAUAUUUUUGAUUUUCAACAUCUUUAACUUGGAAUGGUUCAAAUUUGUUAGGACUUCCUAACAUUUUGGGAUUUCAUAUUUUUAGUUUUCAAUACUUUUAACUAUGAAUGUUUCAAAUUUGUUAGGACGUCCUAACAUUUUGUGAUUUCAGAUCUUUGAUUUUCCAUAUCUUUAACUUUGAAUGUUUCAAAUUUGUUAGGACGUCCUAACAUUUUUGGAUAUUUUUGAUUUUUCAAUACCUUUAAAUAAGAAUUUUCAAAUUUGUUAGGACGUCCUAACAUUUUGGGAUAUUUUUUAUUUUUCAAUACCUUUAACUGAGAAUUUUCAAAUUUGUUAGGACGUCCUAACAUUUUCUGAUUUCAUAUCAUUGAUUUUCAAUAUUUUCAACUUUGAAUGUUUCAAAUUUGUUAGGACGUCCUAACAUUUUUGGAUAUUUUUGAUUUUUCAAUACCUUUAAAUAAGAAUUUUCAAAUUUGUUAGGACGUCCUAACAUUUUGGGAUAUUUUUAAUUUUCAAUACCUUUAACUAAGAAUUUUCAAAUUUGUUAGGAAGUCCUAACAUUUUGGGAUUUCAUAUUUGUGAUUUUCAAUGGUUUCCACUUUGAAUGUUUCAAAUUUGUUAGGACGUCCUAACAUUUUGGUAUUUCAUAGUUUUGAUUUUCAAUCAUUUUUACUUUGAAUGUUUCAAAUUUGUUAGGACGUCCUAACACUUUGGUAUUUCAUAUUUUUGAUUUUCAAUCAUUUUUACUUUGAAUGUUUCUAAUUUGUUAGGACGUCCUAACAUUUUGGUAUUUCAUAUUUUUGAUAUUCAAUCAUUUUACUUUGAAUGUUUCAAAUUUGUUAGGACGUCCCAACAUUUUUGGUAUUUCAUAUCUUUGAUUUUCAAUAGGUGUUACUUUGAAUGUUUCAAAUUUUGUUAGGACGUCCUAACAUUUUCUAUUAUCUUACUGUUUUUGAUGGAAAAUGCUAAUGAAUAAAGACUAAAAACUCA